CGAAUAGAAGCCCGCUGGAUUGGGUGUUUAGCUGUUAACUAAUUUGUUGUGGGAUCAAAGCCCGCCUAUUCA
rnacentral:tRNA from 1 species